AGGCAGUCCAGUGGAAAGCUCUGUUUUGCCUCAGUUUGUUUCAGUCAGCGAGACCUAAGUUCAUAUCUCCUCCCACAGUCUCAGGUGACCUCAGGAGACUGCUCAGGGGGAAUCCAGGGACGAGAAAUUCAAUGGUUGCAGUUUUAUAGUCUUUAUCAGACCAUGAAGGCUGUAAUCAAAAGAUAAGAGCUAUCAUCUGUCACCUCAAUCAAGUUUCAAGAGAAAAUCAUUGCAAGAGAGCCUCUGGUCAGUGGGUGCACAAUAACAUGUUACAAGAUCCCUGGAGCUCAGCAGGAGGUGCUGAAUUUUGUUGUGGAGCUACACCAGGUAUGUUUUAGCAUAUACAUAUUUUGCCAUGUUGUCUAGGUUGAUCUGUAAAUAAUAUGGG
rnacentral:lncRNA from 1 species